UACAGAGGUCUCAAGCGUUGUUCGGAUUCAUUGGGCGUAAAGGGUGCGUAGGCUGCUUGGUAAGUCAGCUGUUAAAUUUUGGGGCUCAACCCCAAACUGCAAUUGAUACUGCCGAGCUCGAGGAUUUAAGAGGAGACUAGAAUUCACGGUGUAGCAGUGAAAUGCGUAGAUAUCGUGAGGAAGACCAACGGCGAAAGCAAGUCUCUGGGAAAUUCCUGACGCUGAGGCACGAAGGCUAGGGGAGCAAACGGG
rnacentral:rRNA from 1 species